rnacentral:misc_RNA from 1 species
AACGCACAUUGCGCUUCCUGGUAUUCCGGGGAGCAUGCCCGUUUCAGAAUCAUUAAAAUCUCAUCAUACUUAGUUAUGUAUUAUUAUUUAAUAAUGUACAUAAUAAGUUUUUUGGAUUUUGGAUGAUUUGUCAUAUGGCAAUCAUUUAAAAUUGAUUGUAUGUGCUCCAAUUGCUUAUGUCUUUUGGGUCUCUAAAGUGCAACAGAUUACUUCUAUUCUCUUUAGUACUUAAAGGUGUACUUUGGUGCAUAUAUCCAAUGUUAUUACACAGGGACUGUGUUAUAUACACAGUUUCUGAUAACUUGGUCUGAAAUCGGGCAAGAAAACCCGCUGAACUUAA